rnacentral:rRNA from 1 species
CUGCGAUAAGCGCCGGUAAGGUGAUAUGAACCGUUAUAACCGGCGAUACCCGAAUGGGGAAACCCAGUGUGACUCGUCACACUAUCAUUAACUGAAUCCAUAGGUUAAUGAGGCGAACCGGGGGAACUGAAACAUCUAAGUACCCCGAGGAAAAGAAAUCAACCGAGAUUCCCCCAGUAGCGGCGAGCGAACGGGGAGGAGCCCAGAGCCUGAAUCAGCAUGUGUGUUAGUGGAAGCGUCUGGAAAGGCGCGCGAUACAGGGUGACAGCCCCGUACACAAAAGCGCAUGUGCUGUGAGCUCGAUGAGUAGGGCGGGACACGUGGUAUCCUGUCUGAAUAUGGGGGGACCAUCCUCCAAGGCUAAAUACUCCUGACUGACCGAUAGUGAACCAGUACCGUGAGGGAAAGGCGAAAAGAACCCCGGCGAGGGGAGUGAAAAAGAACCUGAAACCGUGUACGUACAAGCAGUGGGAGCACCCUUUGGGUGUGACUGCGUACCUUUUGUAUAAUGGGUCAGCGACUUAUAUUCUGUAGCAAGGUUAACCGAAUAGGGGAGCCGGAGGGAAACCGAGUCUUAAUUGGGCGUUAAGUUGCAGGGUAUAGACCCGAAACCCGGUGAUCUAGCCAUGGGCAGGUUGAAGGUUGGGUAACACUAACUGGAGGACCGAACCGACUAAUGUUGAAAAAUUAGCGGAUGACCUGUGGCUGGGGGUGAAAGGCCAAUCAAACCGGGAGAUAGCUGGUUCUCCCCGAAAGCUAUUUAGGUAGCGCCUCGUGAAUUCAUCUCCGGGGGUAGAGCACUGUUUCGGCUAGGGGGCCAUCCCGGCUUACCAACCCGAUGCAAACUGCGAAUACCGGAGAAUGUUAUCACGGGAGACACACGGCGGGUGCUAACGUCCGUCGUGAAGAGGGAAACAACCCAGACCGCCAGCUAAGGUCCCAAAGUCAUGGUUAAGUGGGAAACGAUGUGGGAAGGCCCAGACAGCCAGGAUGUUGGCUUAGAAGCAGCCAUCAUUUAAAGAAAGCGUAAUAGCUCACUGGUCGAGUCGGCCUGCGCGGAAGAUGUAACGGGGCUAAACCAUGCACCGAAGCUGCGGCAGCGACACUGUGUGUUGUUGGGUAGGGGAGCGUUCUGUAAGCCUGUGAAGGUGUGUCGUGAGGC